rnacentral:rRNA from 1 species
UACAGAGGGCGCGAGCGUUGUCCGGAAUUACUGGGCGUAAAGGGCUCGUAGGCGGCCAACUAAGUCGGAUGUGAAAUCCCCAGGCUUAACCUGGGAACUGCAUCCGAUACUGGAUGGCUUGAAUCCGGGAGAGGGAUGCAGAAUUCCAGGUGUAGCGGUGAAAUGCGUAGAUAUCUGGAGGAAUACCGGUGGCGAAGGCGGCAUCCUGGACCGGCAUUGACGCUGAUGAGCGAAAGCUAGGGGAGCAAACGGG